GACGAACGCUGGCGGCGUGCUUAACACAUGCAAGUCGAACGGAAAGGCCCUGCUUUUGUGGGGUGCUCGAGUGGCGAACGGGUGAGUAACACGUGAGUAACCUGCCCUUGACUUUGGGAUAACUUCAGGAAACUGGGGCUAAUACCGGAUAGGAGCUCCUGCUGCAUGGUGGGGGUUGGAAAGUUUCGGCGGUUGGGGAUGGACUCGCGGCUUAUCAGCUUGUUGGUGGGGUAGUGGCUUACCAAGGCUUUGACGGGUAGCCGGCCUGAGAGGGUGAACGGCCACAUUGGGACUGAGAUACGGCCCAGACUCCUACGGGAGGCAGCAGUGGAGAAUAUUGCACAAUGGGCGGAAGCCUGAUGCAGCAACGCCGCGUGCGGGAUGACGGCCUUCGGGUUGUAAACCGCUUUCGCCUGUGACGAAGCGUGAGUGACGGUAAUGGGUAAAGAAGCACCGGCUAACUACGUG
rnacentral:rRNA from 1 species